UGAUAAUGGAUUUGCAAUGACAUGCAAUGACAAUGAUGUAUAAUAUUAUAAUUACAUUUAUACAUUUAUAAGCUACCCUGUAUAUGUGAGGAUCUUUUUUAAAAGCUGUAUAAUUAAUGAUCAUUUUUCUCAUGUCAUUCAGACCUUGACGGCCUUGAAGCUGCUAACUUGGCUUGCCUUUCUCAAUCAGAAAGGUUUAGCUUAAGUAAAUCCUUCACCAUUGUCAAGAAUGCAGAUCUUAGCACCGGAAAGGAUGGGCCCUCGUAUAGGAGCAUGUCUAUGAGGGCCAUACAAAGGUGAAGAAUUUAGCAGAACUCCUGGUGCUGGGGAGGUGGGGUGAUGAGACGUGCUCCAUACAUGGGUACGGGCCCUCACACAGGCACUGGGGCAGCACUGGGGUUGGUCUUUAUGAGCCCCCUCAGAGGUACAUAGAAACUGAACGCCGGUUUCUGCGAUCCAGAUCACACAGCAUGGAUAACUGUAACUGGAGCUGGGCGAUGAAACACAGAACAAGGGAACUCUGACUAGGCGCAGGAUGCAGCUAAGGGCUUCAGGAAUAUGCUGAUCUAUCCAUCAAAAAAAGAACUGGUCAUUUUGGCUGUGAAAUCCCAGGUAGCGAAGACGAAGCAUCAGCAACUCAUUUCAUUGAAGCCACAAUUGUACAGCAUGAUGCCACCCCAGUGAUGACAGCACUUAACUUUUCUGAUAGUUUGCGAAUUCUUAAUCUGCGACUACAGCUCAUUGUAUCCCGAGUGGGCCACAUUGGCAAAAGUAGCCUGCGCCAUUCCCGGUACCGUGCCCACAGAGAGAGGCUUCUCACUGCAGAAUCACAUUAAAACAGCCUUGCGUAGUCACCUUCAGGAGGAGGUCACCAGGCUGAUGUGCAUCUCAAGCUGCAGAGAAACACUGAACACAUUCGAUUUCACUUCAGCAGCAGAAUGUUUCCGUGCCAUGAAAAAUUGUAGAAAAUAGUCAUAAAAAUCAAGAGAAACAAAUUAGCAUGGGAAAUUAUAAGAUUUUUGUUAAUUUAAGAUUUCAUCAAACAAAAAUAUAUGUGGCAAACUGCAGAUUAACGUUUUGCUGAACGCUGUUUUUGUUUUGAAUGUUUAUUAGACGCUAA